rnacentral:rRNA from 1 species
AUCGAACGCUGGCGGCAGGCUUAACACAUGCAAGUCGAGCGCCCCGCAAGGGGAGCGGCAGACGGGUGAGUAACGCGUGGGAAUUUACCCAGUGGUACGGAACAACCCAGGGAAACUUGGGCUAAUACCGUAUAAGUCCUUCGGGAGAAAGAUUUUUCGCCAUUGGAUGAGCCCGCGUCGGAUUAGCUAGUUGGUGGGGUAACGGCCUACCAAGGCGACGAUCCGUAGCUGUCUGAGAGGAUGAUCAGCCACACUGGGACUGAGACACGGCCCAGACUCCUACGGGAGGCAGCGGUGGGGAAUAUUGGACAAUGGGCGCAAGCCUGAUCCAGCCAUGCCGCGAGGGUGAUGAAGGCCUUAGGGUUGUAAAGCUCUUUCGGCGGGGAAGAUAAUGACGGUACCCGCAGAAGAAGCCCCGGCUAACUUCGUGCCAGCCGCCGCCGUAAAAC